AGCGAACGCUGGCGGCAGGCCUAACACAUGCAAGUCGAACGGACCCUUCGGGGUUAGUGGCGGACGGGUGAGUAACACGUGGGAACGUGCCUUUUGGUUCGGAACAACUCAGGGAAACUUGAGCUAAUACCGAAUGUGCCCUUCGGGGGAAAGAUUUAUCGCCAUUAGAGCGGCCCGCGUCUGAUUAGCUUGUUGGUGAGGUAAUGGCUCACCAAGGCGACGAUCAGUAGCUGGUCUGAGAGGAUGAUCAGCCACAUUGGAACUGAGACACGGCCCAAACUCCUACGGGAGGCAGCAGUGGGGAAUCUUGCGCAAUGGGCGAAAGCCUGACGCAGCCAUGCCGCGUGAAUGUUGAAGGUCUUAGGAUUGUAAAAUUCUUUCACCGGGGACGAUAAUGACGGUACCCGGAGAAGAAGCCCCGGCUAACUUCGUGCCAGCAGCCGCCGUAAAAC
rnacentral:rRNA from 1 species